GGCAAACAAACACAACGUCACAAAAGGACAACACUGCAUGUUCUUUCCGUCCGUCACUUGGUCAUACGACGCUCUCUCUAGCUCGCAGAGAGCGUCUUCCUUCUCUCUCUCUCCACCCCUCACUGAAAGACAAGCAGGCACAUAAAUACACACUUCCUGAUUGGGUCAGAUUGCAGACACCUGUCCGCAAUCAGACCCCAUCACCCCAGCAGACCCGGUGCUCCAUGCUCCCCCUGCAGGCCAGACGCCGCCCCACCUCCACAUACCCCCACCGCACGACACAGGCCGGGGACCCAUCCGGCCGUAAACCUACUCCCCCCCCCCCCGGGACGGGAGAGGAAGUCUGCCACGACCAUCUGCGCCCCCGGCCUGUGGGCCACCCGGAAAUUGAACGGCUGCAACGCGAGGUACCACCGGGUGAUCCUGGCGUUGGCAUCCUUCAUCCGGUGGAGCCACUGGAGGGGGGGCGUGGUCGGAGUAGAGGGUGAACUGGCGACCCAGCAGGUAGUAGCGAAGGGCACCGACCGCCCACCGGAUGGCGAGACACUCCUUCUCUACCGUGCUGUACCGACCCUCGCGGCCCGACAGCUUGCGGCUCAGGUACAGCACCGGACGGUCGGUCCCCUCAACCUGCUGGGUCAGGACCGCGCCCAACCCCCUAUCCGACGCGUCUGCCUGGACGGAGAAAGGGAGAGCAAAAUUAGGAGCACACAGGACUGCUUCCCCACAGAGGGCUGUUUUAAUAGCCUCAAACGACACCUGGCAUGGCUGCGACCACUGGACGGUAUCUGGGGCCCUCUUCCGGGUGAGGUCGGUCAAGGGGCUGGCCAGGUCGGAGAAGUUCGGCACGAACUGCCGAUAGUAACCCGCCAGCCCCAGGUACCGCCUCACCUCCUUCUUGGUCCUGGGUCGAGGGGAGGCGGCGACCGCUGCGGUCUUACCGACCUGCGGCCGGACCUUCCCCCGCCCCAGGUGGAACCCCAGAUACUGAAUCUCCCUCCGCCCGAUCACACACUUCUUCGGGUUGGCCGUGAGCCCCGCCCGUCUCAGCGACUGAAGGACGGCCGCCACCUG
rnacentral:lncRNA from 1 species